rnacentral:rRNA from 1 species
CGAAGGGGGCUAGCGUUACUCGGAAUGACUGGGCGUAAAGGGCGCGUAGGCGGUUUGCUUAGUUAGGCGUGAAAUUCCUGGGCUCAACCUGGGGGCUGCGCUUAAUACAGGCAGACUAGAGUGUGAAAGAGGGUCGUGGAAUUUCCAGUGUAGAGGUGAAAUUCGUAGAUAUUGGAAAGAACACCGGUGGCGAAGGCGGCGACCUGGUUCAUUACUGACGCUGAGGCGCGAAAGCGUGGGGAGCAAACAGGAUUAGAUACCCUGGUAGUCCACGCCGUAAACGAUGUGUGCUGGAUGUUAGGCAACCUAGUUGCUUAGUGUCGUAGCUAACGCGGUAAGCACACCGCCUGGGGAGUACGGCCGCAAGGUUG